AGUAAAUAGAUACCCUGGUAGUCCACGCCCUAAACGAUGUCAACUAGUUGUUGGGGAUUCAUUUUCUCAGUAAACGUAAGCUAAACGCGUGAAGUUGACCGCCUGGGGAGUACGGUCGCAAGAUUAAAACUCAAAGGAAUUGACGGGGACCCGCACAAGCGGUGGAUGAUGUGGAUUAAUUCGAUGCAACGCGAAAAACCUUACCUACCCUUGACAUGCCACUAACGAAGCAGAGAUGCAUUAGGUGCCCGAAAGGGAAAGUGGACACAGGUGCUGCAUGGCUGUCGUCAGCUCGUGUCGUGAGAUGUUGGGUUAAGUCCCGCAACGAGCGCAACCCUUGUCUCUAGUUGCUACGCAAGAGCACUCUAGAGAGACUGCCGGUGACAAACCGGAGGAAGGUGGGGAUGACGUCAAGUCCUCAUGGCCCUUAUGGGUAGGGCUUCACACGUCAUACAAUGGUGCGUACAGAGGGUUGCCAACCCGCGAGGGGGAGCUAAUCCCAGAAAACGCAUCGUAGUCCGGAUCGUAGUCCGCAACUCGAC
rnacentral:rRNA from 1 species